ACUGCUUCAUGGCAAGAGGUUCCAUGCUGACAGCAUCUGGGGAACCUCGCUGGGCCUCGGAGGUCCUUCCUAUGGGUGAUAUGCCACCCACCCUGGGUCAAGAGUCAGAGAAGGGCGGCCGGUCCCACUGCUGGCUUCGCCUGCCUGUUUCCCACAGCUUCCCUCUAGUCAUCCACGUAUACCUGCUGCCCAGUUCCCUAGAAACCUGCCUAGUGUAAAAGGAAGCAACUCUGGAGAACAGAAUCAGAAAUCAGAAAGCAAGGCCCUGUCCUCCAAGUUCUCUCCAGGAUGGGGACCGAGGAAGUUUUAUGUGGUCCAGAGACGCUGCAUCAGCCUCAGGCCCCUAAGCCCUGCCUGGUUCAACAGGAUUAUUUCACUCACGCUGGUCAUCCCACUGUUAGAAAGAGCAAGGAAAGAAGGAUGAGAAAGGAAGAGAGGGAGGGAGAAAACUGUCCCCAAGAAAAGGAAACUAUUGCCUGGUGACGGACAGAUGGUUUCCUCAACUUACAUAAUUUAAGAUACAGAUCAUUCCCAAUACAACUUAGAAUCUCAUUAGUCAGUACAAUUUUCUGAAGGUUCAAUCUUUCAUUUCUAUUCUCUACCCUGGCAAGAACAUUGGAGCUUACCAUCAUAAGUGACAGGAAUGAACAUUGGAGCUUACCAUCAUGAGUGACGGGAAUAGCAUUAUCUCCAAACCUGAGAUCCUUCCAAUGGGAAUUCUACAACUCCUGGGAGUUUACAAGUCACACAUGUAGACAAUGUCUGUACCUAUACUCAGAGAUGUAGACUGGCCUCAAUAGAGUUCAUUGAGCUAAAACAAUGCUAGGUAAACAAUGGAAUUUAUUUUCAAGACUGAACUCAGUUCUCAUCAAUUCAAGGUUAACCUCAACAAAAUGAAUCCAAAAACGGGAAGAAAAUGAAAAAAAAAACAAAAAACAAAAUGAAAUGCCUGCACUACGUAUUUAGGCCCAGCUGACAGAAUCUCAACACUGAAUGAUACUGAUAAACAGGUUUCCUUGUGUAUCCAGUGUGAAGUCUUGGUUGUUAUUCAUUUUCCAACGAACAUUAAAGUCAUUCUGGAUUCUCU